AUUGAACGCUGGCGGCAGGCCUAACACAUGCAAGUCGAGCGGUGCGGCGCACGGGUGAGAAAUGCCUAGGAAUCUGCCACGACGUUGGGGAUAAAGUCCGGAAACGUGCGCUAAUACCGCUUACUAUCUGCUUAGCAUAGGUCGGUUUGGCUGGUGAGUGGGGUAAAGGCCUACCAAGGCGACGAUCCGUAACUGGUCGGAGAGGAUGAUCAGUCCAACUGGAACUGAGACACGGUCCAAACUCCUACGGGAGGCAGCAGUGGGGAAUAGUGGACAAUGGGCGAAAGACUGAUCCAGCCAUGCCGCGGGUGUGAAGAAGGUCUUCGGAUUGUAAAGCACUUUAAGUUGGGAGGCGUUACCAACAGAAUAAGCACCGGCUAACUUCGUGCCAGCAGCCGCGGUAAUUC
rnacentral:rRNA from 1 species